ensembl:lncRNA
GGAUCCUGCAGCUAUUGCGAACCCACUGAAGGCAUAACUCACAUCUGCACUGAAUAAGAUUGACAGGCUUCUUCUCUGAACUGAAGUGAACCUCUUGCCCUGAGUGUGUGUGUAAUGUGAGACAGGUCUUAUGACAAGCACUAAUAAGCCCAGACUCUUGACCCCGUGGCGGCUAAGCUGACACAGAGGAAUGCACUACGACACUGCUAACAAACUCCUGCGACCUGUGCGUGGAUAAGCGUGUGGCACGUCAGGUAAUGGAGACAAAGCGGGAAAUGCUUCGCAUUCAGGUCACUGCGCUUAGACUGUAAUUUUUUUCCUCAACAUGGAAAAAGCCAGAAUAUUGAUCUCUAAGAGAAUUCUCUUUGAUUUAAGAUGUUUAAUAAAAGCAUCCCUUUGAGCAUACAUAUGUAACUUCAACUCACAUUUUAAACUAAACUUAUGAUUAAUUAGUUUUCUUCUUCUCCACCUUUCAGGUCAAGGCACGUUAAGGACACUGAUGUUGCUCUCAUUUGUUUUAGCUAGAGUUUAUGCUGUGGCUAAAUUACUUCCUUCUUUCAUCACAGUCCUUGUGGGCCUUUUGAAAAUAAUCCAAUCAUUAACUGCAUGAGGUAUGUUUAUAGUAAUUAUGUACAAUACUGUGCAAAAACCUAGAGCCACCCAUCAAGUCUUUCAGUUUUUCUUUGGACAUUGGCUCUUGUAUUACUCAUUUUUAGUUCCAUCCUUGUACCUGACCAUUUUCAGAGCUUUGUUUUCUUUCUUAGUUUUUUUUUUUUUUUAAAGCCAAGUAAUACUGACCUAUGAAUCAUCCAAGCAUAAAAAGGUACCUAUACCUCGAGGGAUGAACCCCAAUUAUGUCUACAGAUAACAGACAACUUAGCAAACAACCAAUUUUAGCAGCCAGUCACAAAAAUGUACAAUUUGUUUCCAUUUAUUUAGUUCUGCACCAACAAGGUGAUUCCCAAAGUGCUAUUAGUCAAAAACUUGGCAUAUCUCAACACGGGGUCAAGUCUGUAAAGAGAAGCCAAUGUGAAAGUGCCUUAAACCUGUACUCUUUCUUUUAUCAAGGGAUGAGUCUAUGGGAAAAUAAACUUAAGCUCUCACCCUGCAUGUGACCUUAGUGACAAUUUUCCUUAUGAUUUAAUGCUUUUGAGUCUAUAUACAUCCCCAAAGUUGAGCCUUAACAGUUUAUAUGGAUAACUUAAUCAAAACAAUAAUUCCCAUGCACUUAUGAAGAAGAAAAUUAUUCAUUUAUGUUGUAGUGUUGGCAGUUUAAAAUAUCUGUGCUGAGUCUGUGAGGAUUGUCAUGCAAAUUCAACGUUAAGGGGCCAUUCAAGAAACUGCAGCUUUUUGGCUCAAUGUUUUUGUUGUGCUUUAGCCCUGGAGCCUGAUUUCCACACAGGUGCAACCUCAGUAGUUUGCCUUUUUACUGUGAAAACUGCUCAUUGUUGUCCCAAGUGUACCUCUAUGUACACUCCUGCUUUACAAAGACUCUGAUAUUAAUUUUAUUGGAAAAAUUGUAGUGGCAGU